UUAAAAGCACUUUGAAAAUGUUGUAGAGCCUAACAAGGUCUAAAUCCAUUAUUAGGUUUAUAAAUAUAUGAUUCUUAGAUUUCUUAAGUACUGAUGUAAUAAAUGUGGACCUAAAACAAUGCUUGAUAUUGCCCCAAAAAUAGUUCUUGAUUCUUUUCGGCCCUUCGAAAAAUACUUAGAUCUGCCUUGGCUGUGUGAAUCAUGUUUUCUGUUCUGCUUUGGGAUAUAUGAUAACAAUCUAGUCUCAUUUUUAUUAUGGCUAGUGGUUCUGCUCUUGAUAAAAGUAUAAAACAGCAUCAGGUAUAAAGUAUGGGGAGAAGUGAACAUUGUAAUUAAUAAAGAGAAACCCAUGAGUAAGUGAAUUCAAUAUCAUUACACAAAAAACAGAAGACAUGAUCAUUUUGAUGGUCUAUACUAAUCAAUUGUACAAAAUUUGACCACUAAUUGAUGUUAGUCAUCUAGAGUGUGAGAUUUAUAGCCCAUUCAUUUUAUGUUGGAAAACAUCUUCGGUGCAAGGAAUUGUGAGACCGCCCAUUGGAUGAUCAUAUCCAAACUCUUGCUCGGCUUGACUCAGUAAGUCUUGGAAUGAAGGUUUGUUCAAGUAUGAUAUUGGGAUGACAAACCGCUUAUGCUUCUCUCCAACAUACACUGCAAGAUACCCCUUUGGCACUUCCACACAUUUUGAAGAUGCUUGGAUGGCACUGAAUGAUGCCCUUCGAAUAGCAGGUAAACGGAAACCCAUAUUUUUUGUUUGUUUGAAGGAAGAACAAAGCAAAGUUUUCAAAUCUGAGAAGAAAGUGUGUAAGUUUUAAUGCUUCAAGCUGCAAAUGUCUUAUGUUGGUUGUGAAGGCAAGAGGGUGUUUAUUUAUAGAUUUUAAGGGUCUUUAGAAACUCAAUUCAUAGAGAAAUAAUUGAUGAAGGGGUUAAAGGCUAGGGGCAUGCAUAAGAGAGUUCACAUGGUCUUGUCUAUAGAGGACUCUAUCAAGUACUAAUAACUUGUCUAAGAGUGCAUACCCCACCUUCUCAAAGGAAUGGCCAAAACUGCAACAACUAGCAAUAAAAUGAGUCAUACUCAAAUGAAACCUAAUGUUUGUUCAUGGUUCAUGCAUUCUUUAAUUUCUACUCUGUAUUUUUGUAAACAUACUUUAGACAUCUCACAUGUUUCUUCACAUUAUUAAUGCAUAUACAUCUACCAAUUAAUAUCAAGGUGACAGUAUCAAAUUUGUAAGCCUUGACCAGGACCUGAUUGAUAGCUCUCAAACAUAGUGUUUGGAGGCAAUAAGAGAAGCCAAAAUUGAAUACAUGAUAAUGAGCUACCAUAAACAUAUUUUUUAGGUGUACCAGAUUUCAAGCAACGCCCCGUGAAAUAUGACCAAUAUGAACCACAUCAUUUUGAUCCUGCUUGCAUAGUCUAUUUUAACUACUACACCAUUUUGAUCAUUCAGAUAUAAGGAAGUUUUCUGAGACAACACCAUGUGACCUCUUAUAUGCCCUUGUCUCCCAAUAGGUCCCAUGACUCCACCUAUAUAUAUUCAUGGCUUCAACCAGUUAAGAACAACACAUCCUAAAGCACUCAAAUUCAGAAACUUGUAUCUCACUUACUAGUCUUUUCUCAACAAACACAACAAUGGGUUUUCAUUUCCCACUUAUCAGAAGGGCAUCAUUUACUUCAAACCAAGCAUCUACAAAAGUUGCGAAUGUGCCGAAGGGCUACAUAGCAGUAUAUGUUGGAGAGAACACAAAGCGGUUCGUGAUCCCAAUAUCAUACUUGAACCAACGUUCAUUUCAAGAUUUACUUGGUCAAGCUGAGGAAGAAUUCGGGUAUGAACAUCAAAUGGGUGGCCUAACAAUUCCUUGUAGAGAAGAUGAGUUUUUGGAUAUUACUUCACAACUUCAAUAACUGCUAAUCCCAUGCAACAUAAAGCCUGAUUAGACUUACAUUACUUAGACACAAUUUUUGUAACAGAUUAAUAACUUGAAAAUAUUGUUCUUUGUCAUUAUCCUACCUACAUGGGUACAAUAUAUGAAAGAGAAAUUUAUCAGCAAUACCAUAUAUUAUUUUUUCGUUUUCCAUCAAAUCUCAGUCUAAAUUUUCUUUGCAUGGUCCUAAAAGAAGGAAAACAAAAAAUAAUCACUAAAUUAGUUUCAAUGAUCAUACUAUAUUGCAAAACCAGGAAAAAAGAUGCAAGUAACUAUUAUGAUUAAUAACGAUGAUUAUAUAUGACAAAAAGAUUAUGAUAGAACAACUUGGUAAAUGCUGCACCCAAAAAAAAACUUAGUGAUUUCUAUACUAAAAAUAAACGUGGUUAUUUGAUAAGUAUUUAGAGGAAGGUUUUUACCGUGCCUAAUUACCAUGAUCCACUUGACUGAAAUAUGGCAGAUAUAUGUUACUUGAGAUCAAAUUUCAUUCAUAAAUGAAAGAAAAACAUAACCCAAAUAAAACUAUGAAAUUGAAAUAGAUAAUUAUGUGAUCUACUUAUUUACCCAUACUUUUAUAAAUGUGUUAAUGUGGUUAUAGGCCAUUCACUAAUAUGAGAAGUUCCCAUUUUCUUUUGGCGUGGGCUUUGAUUAUUUCAAGAAUUAAGAUAACACAAAUGUUGCUGUUUGCUUAUUACUAAUAUGAUAAUUGUUUGAGGAUUUAUACUGAAUUUAAAUUGUUGUCUCCUAUACAAAUUGGCUUGUAAAUUUUAAGGAUGGAUAAGUGAAAUUGUAUUUGAUAUUUUGUACAAUAAUUUUUCUUUGGUGAAAGCCUUCUUGAAUUUUCUGUUGCUCCUUAAAUCUUGGAAGAACAGAUGUUACAUACCAGUUACCAUGAAGAGUGAAGAGUUAUAUCUGUUUGACUUCAAGACUAGGUACUAGGUAGCAUAUACAUGUUUUUGGUCAAUAAGUUCCAUAGCAAUCAAUCAGUGAAGUAAAACUCACCACUACCAUAUGCAUUGUUCUGGACCUAUAAACAAAUAACAUGCUUAAUUCGAGUUAAGUGAUCACAUGAAUUCGACUGUAUCUAUGGCAGAAAAUAUUAUUGCACCAACUUUGCUGUAAGGCUAAUUGCUUCUCAUAUAUGGUAAUUGGAGUGAAUAACUUGUUUCUCAUAGGGAAAGACAAAAUAAAAAUGAAAAGUUACACAAUGUUAAACUAUCUCUAUUGUACAAAAUUGAGUUGAUCAUUGUAUAUAUACAAGUUAAUCUUCUACUUUAAGAUCUAUGCAAGUGGGAGGUGAUAUCUAGGAAGAUAUCUUCGCUACAAGGGAUUGUAAGGCCACCCAUUGGAUGAUCAUAUCCGAAUUCUUCCUCGGCUUGAUUAAGUAAAACUUGAAAUAAAGGUUGGUUCAAGUAUGAUAUUGGGAUCACAAACCGCUUCACUUUCUCCCCGAUGUACACUGCUAUGUAGCCCUUUGGAACAUCAACAACUUUUGAAGAUGCUUGGUUUGCAGUAUAUGAAGUCCUUCUAAUGUUUGCUAAACGAAAACCCAUUGUAGUGUUUGUUGAGAAGAAACUUCUAAAUGAGAUAGAUGUUUUGGAAUUUUGAAUGCUUCAGAAUGUGAGUGAUUUGUGUUGGUCCUAAAU
rnacentral:lncRNA from 1 species